AAUUGUGGGGGGGGGAAAUAAGCAAACCUGCCCUCUUGUGGUGAACAUACAAUACUACACCUACUGCUUUAAAGGAGAUCCUGACUGUAAAUAUUGGAGAUCUGUCCCCUGCUUUAAGAAACGUGGUGGUGAAAACAGGUGAUCUCCAGGACCAGUGUUGAUGCUCCGGGUGUCGAAAGUACCCCAGGUUUCUGACCUCACCUGUACUCAGUACUCUCUGUGAUCCUAGAGGAACUGGACCAUG